rnacentral:rRNA from 1 species
UACGUAGGCAGCAAGCGUUGUUCGGAAUUACUGGGCGUAAAGAGUGUGUAGGCGGUGCUCCAAGUCUGGUGUGAAAUCUCCCGGCUCAACUGGGAGGGUGCGCUAGAAACUGGAAUGCUAGAGGAUGGGAGAGGUAAGCGGAAUUCCUGGUGUAGCGGUGGAAAUGCGUAGAUAUCUGGAGGAACACCGGUGGCGAAGGCGGCGUCUGGACUGGCAACUGACACUGAGGAACGAAAGCCAGGGGAGGCAAACGGG